rnacentral:misc_RNA from 1 species
GAUGAAGAACGUAGCGAAAUGCGAUAACUAAUGUGAAUUGCAGAAUUCAGUGAAUCAUCGAAUCUUUGAACGCACAUUGCGCCCCCUGGUAUUCCGGGGGGCAUGCCUGUCCGAGCGUCAUUACAACCCUCAAGCUCAGCUUGGUGUUGGGCCCCGCCGCCCCGGCGGGCCCUAAAGUCAGUGGCGGUGCCGUCCGGCUCCGAGCGUAGUAAUUCUUCUCGCUCUGGAGGUCCGGUCGCGUGCUCGCCAGCAACCCCCAAUUUUUUCAGGUUGACCUCGGAUCAGGUAGGGAUACCCGCUGAACUUAAGCAUAUCAAUAAGCGGAGGA